AAAGAGUUAUUCUUAAGUUCCUGUUGCCUGCAGUCUCCUGCAUCUCGGUCCACCUGCUCCACUCCUCACAACACCUACUGUAUCUGAUAUUUGAGGACACUUGGCUGAUCUUGCAGGGUAACUGCAGCAAGGUUUAGUGUUGUUAGUUACCAACAGUAAUCAGCCUUAAGUGGAUCCAGCCUGACCAGGAUUUCUCCUGAUCCCUCUGAUUACCAUGUGAGUCUUGUCCCGCUAAAAUCAGCAGCACACAGACCGCUGGAUACUUCGCUGGAUAACCUACACCCAGAAUCACUGACGGGUGUGGUUGGUACUCAGUAGUGAUGUCACAGCGUACCAACACAACCUGGAGUACACUCUUACAUCACUGCAGCAAGGAGAGAUAUUAAACCACAGGAGACAGAUGAAUGCAGCCUCAAUGGGAUGAAUGGAGGCCAAAGAGGAGGGAGGAGGAGGCGGCAACAUCCACCAGCUCAACACUUAACACAUGACUGAUCAAAGCAACCACCACACUUCAAACCUUCUACUUUAACACUGGGAACAGAGGCUUUUGUUUUUUGGAAACACAAUAAUUCCAGAUUAAUUAUCAUCUAAAUCUAACGUGACAAAAACAUAAAACAAAUGUUUAUUUACAGAACUAUGUAACAGGUUCCAGUCAGACAAAUUAAAGACUUGUGUUCAUA